AAUGGUUCCUAUAUGAUCACUGAAGUUAAGCAACGUCAAACCUGGUCAGUACCUAGAUGGGUGACCACUUGUGAAUACCGAGUGCUGUAGG